CUUGAAAAGCAUAAUCUAGAGAGGUCAGGCUAUAUAGUUCCGUUCUCCUGCAGGUGUGGGAUCAUCCCUCACUUUGUGACUGAAGACUUGCCAGGUUCUGGAAACAUCUGGGAAGUAUUUUUGUUGGGGAGAGUUGAACAUCUGAAGAAAAUAACAGAAUGACAUUCCAGGCUGGUGGCUCCCUUCUCAUGCUCUUGCCUUUCCUCCGACCACACCGGGAUCUGCUGGCCUUCAAGGGAAAGCCCAGCCCCAUUACUCACUAGCUCUUUAGACUUAUUCCACCUCCUGGAGCCUCUCUUUUCCUCAUCUGUCAAAAUGGGACCUUCAAGACUUACUCGAACUUGUAGUGACAAUGAAAUAGCAUAAUGCACAGAGAAGCGUCCAUAAUGAGAAGCCAGCAUUCAGAUCCAAGGACACCAAGGAUCCAAUACCAGAAGGAGAAGUCAGACCUCCUGCCUCGAAGACGACCAGUCUUGAAAUGCAUCACAGUUAAUCUGUUACAAAUAACGAAGGAUGGUCCUUGACCCAACGUAUUGCCUCUCUUAAGACUCAGGCAGGAUUUCCAAGCUAAACAAGGGAGAGAGGGCACUGUCCUCCCCACUCCUGUCUUCCUGUUAUUCUGACCCCUGUGGACCCCUGUGGAGUGUCGUGGGGCCCUAGCUGGAGCUGUCAUUGAUACAGUACAGAUGUGAGGGGCAGAGUCAAAGAAGGCCUGUAACCGAAGUGUACAACCCACUGCUUCUGAAAUAGAAUCAAUAUGGAAGUA